UCUAAAUCUAACUUGUAAUGUGUGAAUU
rnacentral:guide_RNA from 1 species